rnacentral:rRNA from 1 species
UACGGGGGGGGGCAAGCGUUGUUCGGAAUUAUUGGGCGUAAAGGGCGCGUAGGCGGCCCGGUAAGUCAAAGGUGAAAUCCCUCGGCUCAACUGAGGAACUGCCUUUGAAACUGUCGGGCUUGAGGCCGGGAGGGGGUAGCGGAAUUCCCAGUGUAGCGGUGAAAUGCGUAGAUAUUGGGAGGAACACCAGUGGCGAAGGCGGCUACCUGGACCGGUUCUGACGCUGAUGCGCGAAAGCGUGGGUAGCAAACAGG